rnacentral:rRNA from 1 species
AUAAAUAAAUUAUUAAGAGCACUUGAUGGAUGCCUUGGCGUUAAGAGGCGAUGAAGGACGUGGCAGGCUGCGAUAAGCUGUGGGGAAUUGUCAACAAAUUUUGAUCCGCAGAUUUCCGAAUGGGGAAACCCAACUAGCUUAGCUAGUUAUUACAUACUAAGUAUGUAAAGCAAACUUGGUGAACUGAAAUAUCUAAGUAGCCAAAGGAAAAGAAAUCAACCGAGAUUCUGUUAGUAGUGACGAGCGAAAGCGGAAAAGGCUAGUGAUUUAAGAAUAAGAAUUAGAAUACUCUGGAAAUAGUAACCAUAGAAGGUGAUAGUCCUGUAUAAGUAGAAAGUUUUUAAAUCCUUGAGUAGAGCGGGGCACGUGAAAUCCUGUUUGAAUAUGGGGGGACCAUCCUCCAAGCCUAAAUACUACUUAACGACCGAUAGUGAACAAGUACCGUGAGGGAAAGGUGAAAAGAACCCCGGGAGGGGAGUGAAAUAGAAUCUGAAAUCAAGUGCUUACAAACAGUUGGAGCUCUAUAUCAAUUUAUUGAUAUUUAGAGUGACAGCGUACCUUUUGCAUAAUGGGUCAGCGAGUUAAUCUAUGAAGCAAGCUUAAGCCGUUAGGUGUAGGCGUAGCGAAAGCAAGUCUGAAUAGGGCGUUUUAGUUUUAUGGAUUAGACCCGAAACCAAGUGAUCUAGUCAUGACCAGAUUGAAGGUGUGGUAAAACACACUGGAGGAUCGAACCAGUUAAUGUUGCAACAUUAUUGGAUGAGUUGUGAUUAGGGGUGAAAGGCCAAUCAAACUUGGAAAUAGCUGGUUCUCCGCGAAAUCUAUUUAGGUAGAGCGUUGUAUGUAUGUUGUUGGGGGUAGAGCACUGGAUAGACUAGGGGGAUUCACCGUCUUACCAAAUCUAACUAAACUCCGAAUACCAACAAUUAAUUAUACAGCAGGCACACUACGGGUGCUAACGUCCGUGGUGGAAAGGGAAACAACCCAGACCGCCAGCUAAGGUCCCAAAAUUAUGGUUAAGUGGGAAACGAAGUGGGAAAGCCAUGACAGCUAGGAGGUUGGCUUAGAAGCAGCCAUCCUUUAAAGAAAGCGUAAUAGCUCACUUGUCUAAAUAAGUUUUUCUGCGCCGAAAAUGUACCGGGGCUAAAGCUGUAUACCGAAGAUGUGAGUGCUUAUUGAUUUCGAUCAAUAGGCGCGGUAGCGGAGCGUUCCGUAAGUCUAUGAAGGUGGUUUGUGAAAAC